rnacentral:rRNA from 1 species
GUGGGGAAUAUUGCACAAUGGGCGAAAGCCUGAUGCAGCAACGCCGCGUGAGGGACGACGGCCUUCGGGUUGUAAACCUCUUUUAGUAGGGAAGAAGCGAACGUGACGGUACCUGCAGAAAAAGCACCGGCUAACUACGUGCCAGCAGCCGCGGUAAUACGUAGGGUGCAAGCGUUAUCCGGAAUUAUUGGGCGUAAAGAGCUCGUAGGCGGUCUGUCGCGUCUGCUGUGAAAACUGGAGGCUCAACCACCAGCCUGCAGUGGGGAAGGGCAGACUAGAGUGCGGUAGGGGAGAUUGGGAUUCCUGGUGAAGCGGUGGAAUGCGCAGAGAUCAGGAGGAACACCGAUGGCGAAGGCAGAUCUCUGGGCCGUAACUGACGCUGAGGAGCGAAAGCGUGGGGAGCGAACAGGAUUAGAAACCCCAGUAGUCC